rnacentral:misc_RNA from 1 species
GAUGAAGAACGUAGCGAAAUGCGAUACUUGGUGUGAAUUGCAGAAUCCCGCGAAUCAUCGAGUUUUUGAACGCAAGUUGCGCCCGAAGCCAUUCGGCCGAGGGCACGUCUGCCUGGGUGUCACGCAUCGUUGCCCCCCCCAAACUUCGGUUCGGGCGGGGCAGAAGUUGGCCUCCCGUGCGUGCCUGCGCGUGCGGUUAGCCCAAAAGCGAGUCCUCGGCGACGAGCGCCACGAAAAUCGGUGGUUUUUUUGCCCUCGUUCCUCGUCGUGCGUGCCCCGUCGCCCGAACGCGCUCUUGCGACCUUCACGCGUCGCCUCGGUGGCGCUCCCAACGCGACCCCAGGUCAGGCGGGACUACCCGCUGAGUUUAAGCAUAUCAAUAAGCGGGGA